GACGAACGCUGGCGGCGUGCCUAAUACAUGCAAGUUGAGCGCUGAAGGUUGGUACUUGUACCAACUGGAUGAGCAGCGAACGGGUGAGUAACGCGUGGGGAAUCUGCCUUUGAGCGGGGGACAACAUUUGGAAACGAAUGCUAAUACCGCAUAAAAACUUUAAACACAAGUUUUAAGUUUGAAAGAUGCAAUUGCAUCACUCAAAGAUGAUCCCGCGUUGUAUUAGCUAGUUGGUGAGGUAAAGGCUCACCAAGGCGAUGAUACAUAGCCGACCUGAGAGGGUGAUCGGCCACAUUGGGACUGAGACACGGCCCAAACUCCUACGGGAGGCAGCAGUAGGGAAUCUUCGGCAGUGGACGAAAGUCUGACCGAGCAACGCCGCGUGAGUGAAGAAGGUUUUCGGAUCGUAAAACUCUGUUGGUAGAGAAGAACGUUGGUGAGAGUGGAAAGCUCAUCAAGUGACGGUAACUACCCAGAAAGGGACGGCUAACUACGUG
rnacentral:rRNA from 1 species